UACGGGGGGAGCAAGCGUUGUUCGGAAUUACUGGGCGUAAAGGGCGCGUAGGCGGCCUUCUAAGUUGAACGUGAAAUCCCCGGGCUCAACCCGGGAACUGCGUCCAAGACUGGGAGGCUAGAAUCCGGGAGAGGGAUGUGGAAUUCCAGGUGUAGCGGUGAAAUGCGUAGAUAUCUGGAAGAACACCGGUGGCGAAGGCGGUCGACUGGCCCUAAACUGACGCUGAGGCACGAAAGCGUGGGGAUCAAACAGG
rnacentral:rRNA from 1 species